AUGCUCACUAUGGCAGCACAUAUGCUAAAAUUGAAAUGUUUCAGAAAAGAUUAGCAUGUCCCCUGUGCAAGGAUGACAUGCAAAUUUGUUAAACAUUCCAUACUUUU